CUCAUGGCGGCCCGCGCCUGAGCACCGAGCGGCGCAGAUGGAACACAGCCGACGGAGAUCAGCAGAGCGCAGCGGAGCCGAGCGCAGAGGAGCAGAAGGCGGCAGAGCAUGCCUCAGGAGGUAAAGAUGCACUGUGGGAGCAGAGGAAGUGGAGACAUAAAAACAUCUCCUGAGAGCUACAUCUAGGAAGAAUUCUUCAGAGUUUGGAAUAUUGAACUCUAGCAAAAGCCAUGAGAAAAGCCAAGCAAAGCCAGCUAGCAUGUUUACAUUGUAAUAUUCAUGCAAACUGUUUUGUUUUUGUCAUUAAAGCUGUUUCUAAGGUGCUGA